UUCCGGUUGAUCCUGCCGGAGGCCACUGCUAUUGGGAUUCGAUUAAGCCAUGCGAGUCGAGAGGGUUCGGCCCUCGGCAGACUGCUCAGUAACACGUGGAUAACCUACCCUUAGGUGGAAGAUAAUCUCGGGAAACUGAGAAUAAUACUCCAUAGAUCUAGGCGGCUGGAAUGCAUCUAGAUUGAAAGCUCCGGCGCCUAAGGAUGGGUCUGCGGACUAUCAGGUUGUAGUCAGGGUAAAGACCUGACUAGCCUACGACGGAUAUGGGUUGUGAGAGCAAUAGCCCAGAGACGAUAUCUGAGACACGAUAUCGGGCCCUACGGGGCGCAGCAGGCGCGAAAUCUUCACAAUGUGCGAAAGCACGAUGAGGGGAUCCCAAGUGCUGGCACGUAAGUGUCAGCUGUUUCUUAGUCUAAAAAACUGAGAGAGUAAGGGCUGGGUAAGACGGGUGCCAGCCGCCGCGGUAAUACCUGCAGCUCAAGUGGUGGCCGCUAUUAUUGGGCCUAAAACGUCCGUAGCCUGUUUAGUAAAUGCUUGGGUAAAUUGUGUAGCUUAACUAUACGAAUACCAGGUAGACUGCUAAACUUGGGACCGGGAGAGGCUAGAGGUACUCCUAGGGUAGAGGUGAAAUUCUGUAAUCCUAGGGGGACCACCAGUGGCGAAGGCGUCUAGCUAGAACGGGUCUGACGGUGAGGGACGAAGCCCUGGGGCGCGAACCGGAUUAGAUACCCGGGUAGUCCAGGGUGUAAACGCUGCUUGCUUGAUGUUAGUUGGGCUCCGAGCCCAACUAGUGUCGGAGAGAAGUUGUUAAUCAAUGCUGCCUGGGAAGUACGGUCGCAGACUGAAACUUAAAGGAAUUGGCGGGGAGCACAGCAACGGUUGAGCGUGCGGUU
rnacentral:rRNA from 1 species